GGCUAGUUCAAGUGCGGUGGUGUUUGCAACUAAUAGAUCACAACCAGAUUUCUUUAUUUCUUCUUUAAUCCCACUGCUUCACUUGCCUAACCUUUA
rnacentral:Y_RNA from 1 species